CUGGCGGCGUGCCUAACACAUGCAAGUCGAACGAAGCACUUAGACAGAUCCUUCGGGUGACGUAUGGUGACUGAGUGGCGGACGGGUGAGUAACGCGUGGGUAACCUGCCCUGUACAGGGGGAUAACAGUUAGAAAUGACUGCUAAUACCGCAUAAGCGCACGAUGGUAGCAUUACCAGGUGUGAAAAACUCCGGUGGUACAGGAUGGGCCCGCGUCUGAUUAGCUUGUUGGCGGGGUAAGAGCCCACCAAGGCGACGAUCAGUAGCCGGUCUGAGAGGAUGAACGGCCACAUUGGAACUGAGACACGGUCCAAACUCCUACGGGAGGCAGCAGUGGGGAAUAUUGCACAAUGGGGGGAACCCUGAUGCAGCAAACCGCCGCGUGAGUGAAGAAGUAUUUCGGUAUGUAAAGCUCUAUCAGCAGGGAAGAUAAUGACGGUACCUGACUAAGAAGCUCCGGCUAAAUACGUGCCAGCAGCUGC
rnacentral:rRNA from 1 species